rnacentral:rRNA from 1 species
CCUACGGGGGGCUGCAGUGGGGAAUAUUGCACAAUGGGGGGAACCCUGAUGCAGCGACGCCGCGGGGGUGAAGGAGUAUUUCGGUAUGUAAAGCCCUAUCAGCAUGGAAGAACAAUGACGGUACCUGACUAAGAAGCACCGGCUAAAUACGUGCCAGCAGCCGCGGUAAUACGUAUGGUGCAAGCGUUAUCCGGAUUUACUGGGUGUACAGGGAGCGCAGGCGGCGCGUUAAGCCUGGUGUGAAAGUCCGCGGCCCAACCGCGGGACUGCAUUGGGAACUGGCGCGCUGGAGUGCCGGAGGGGUAGGCGGAAUUCCUAGUGUAGCGGUGAAAUGCGUAGAUAUUAGGAGGAACACCAGUGGCGAAGGCGGCCUACUGGACGGUGACUGACGCUGAGGCUCGAAAGCGUGGGGAGCAAACAGGAUUAGAUACCCGGGUAGUC